rnacentral:rRNA from 1 species
UGAGUAACGCGUGAGGAACCGUACCCUUCUAGAGGGGACGAACAGUUGGAAACGACUGCUAAUACCGCAUGAUACAUUUGAAUCGCAUGGUUUGAAUGUCAAAGAUUUAUCGCUGGAAGAUGGCCUCGCGUCUGAUUAGCUAGUUGGUGAGGUAACGGCCCACCAAGGCGACGAUCAGUAGCCGGACUGAGAGGUUGGCCGGCCACAUUGGGACUGAGAUACGGCCCAGACUCCUACGGAAGGCAGCAG